GCCUCCGUGGAUGAGUGGUUAAUCACGUCAACUUCGUAAAGUUUUGCAAUUAUUGUAUGACGGGACACGGGUUCGAAUCCCGUCGGAGGCG